rnacentral:rRNA from 1 species
UACGUAGGGUGCAAGCGUUGUCCGGAAUUAUUGGGCGUAAAGAGCUCGUAGGCGGUUUGUCGCGUCUGCUGUGAAAACUUUGGGCUUAACCCAAAGCGUGCAUCCGAUACUGCUGUGACUUGAGUUCGGUAGGGGAGUGGGGAAUUCCUAGUGUAGCGGUGAAAUGCGCAGAUAUUAGGAGGAACACCGGUGGCGAAGGCGCCACUCUGGGCCGAAACUGACGCUGAGGAGCGAAAGCAUGGGUAGCAAACAGG